rnacentral:rRNA from 1 species
UACGUAGGGUGCGAGCGUUGUCCGGAAUUAUUGGGCGUAAAGGGCUCGUAGGCGGUCUGUCGCGUCGGGAGUGAAAACUCAGGGCUUAACCCUGAGCCUGCUUCCGAUACGGGCAGACUAGAGGUAUGCAGGGGGAGAACGGAAUUCCUGGUGUAGCGGUGGAAUGCGCAGAUAUCAGGAGGAACACCGGUGGCGAAGGCGGUUCUCUGGGCAUUACCUGACGCUGAGGCGCGAAAGCGUGGGGAGCAAACAGG